CACCGUCGGGGCAAUAAAGCGAGCUGGCGUCCGUCCCCAUCACCAGGGUCCCUGUGCCCCUCCCGAACCUCCUCCCCGGGAGCAGCAGAUGCGGUUCUGAGAGGACUGGGCAGCACCUUGCUGGGCAAGGCUGGCGGUCACCGAGCCUCCUGCGCUGGGGCUGACGUCACACAGCCGGGGCAGGGACUGGGCUCACACCCGCGAGCCUCCCUGCAGGAGUGGGUUCCGCCCAUGUCCUGGCCAGCAGGAGGCGCCGGUGCAGCUCAUCGGCCACUUCCAUGCAGGAGCCGCAGCCGGCCACCCGCACGGCCACGGGAGAGCGGGCUGGCGACGCCGUGGACCCUGUACAGGGACAGCUGCAGCGGGGCCCUCCCCGACAGCACAGGCGGCUCCCAGGAAGUGGAGUGACAGGCCUCUGCCACGAGUGACUCCAUCCUGCUCUGCUCCAGCCCUCUCUGGCCCCCGGGCACAGCCUUGCCUCCACGUUCCGGACGGACGUCUUGGCCUCCAGAUAAGAAUGUGCCACCGCCUGGAGAUUAGCCCCUCUGGUCAGUGUCCAAGCUCCAGACGGCCCGGCGGAAGCCUGGGAAACGUUGGUUUCUACAUGCGUGCAGCCCGACCCUGGUCCCAUACAGACACCGCUGCUCCCCCCAGGCCCAGGAAAGGGGGAGUCCCUCUCCCCUACUGUAGGCUGUAGGCGUGUUAGAGGCCUUAAUAGGACACAGCCAAAGGGUGGGAGAAAAACCUG
rnacentral:lncRNA from 1 species